GUCUCUGUGGCGCAAUUGGCCAGCGCGCUUGGCUGUUAACCAAGAGGUUGGUGGUUCGAGCCCACCCAGGGACG